rnacentral:piRNA from 1 species
UAGGCUUACUUAACGGCCUGUUGGCCAGAGC